GUUAUAUAUGACAGCAAAAUGCAUUACAAUUCUUAUUAUACAUGAAAAAAAAAGAAUCUUAACAGAAGAGUUAUAACAGCUUAGACAGAUUCUUACACUAUCUACUUUUAUACAACAGUGACUUUUCUGCCUCUCACCAGGCCCAAAUUUGACCUGGAAAAUUUCAUGAGCCCAGACAUCCUGUGCUUAUGCUGGACACAGGGUAGAGAGUAAGAAGGAGAAGCAGUCCCUCAAAUGCCUGGAUCACUGUCUGUGGUUUAUCGGGGAAAGGGAUGGUUUAUGCUAAUGCAUCCCCAGUUCUCUCUAUAUGCUUGAGAGGACUGCAGUGUCUUAGGGUUUUUUUGACCUAGUUGUGUCAAUAAUGCAGUCAUACAUCCCCUCAGUAUUCCUCACCCAAAUCAGCUAACCUCAUAUUCCUUGCUUCAGUACUUCAGUGUCUUGAUACUAGUAUAUUUAACUGACAUUCAGGAUGAUUUUAUGCUGUCAAUGUAAUAUGAGCAAAUUAAAUUAUUCCAUAUUAAAUUAAUAAAGAUCACACUUAGUAUUCAUAAGUUAAGAUUGUAUAGGCACAGAUGCCUAAAUCAUUAUGUUUAUACUUUGUGAAGGCCACUAUAGGAGGGUAACUAAAAAAUGAAUAAAAAAAAAAGAAUUUAGAGGAACAGACUGAAUAUGAACGACAGUAGGGGGCACUUGUAUGACAGUGUUCAGUUUGAAAUUUGGACUUUAACUUCUACUUGUUUCUUGGGGAGUUUAUGUUUUUUCCUUAUGCAACUUUCUUUAUGCAAAACUGACAAUUAUAUUUCUUAUAAAUACAUCUGAUGUGGU
rnacentral:lncRNA from 1 species